GGUGAACGCUGGCGGCGUGCUUAAGACAUGCAAGUCGAACGCAGUCUUCGGACUGAGUGGCGCACGGGUGAGUAACACGUAACUGACCUACCCCCGAGUCGCGAAUAACCAGCCGAACGGAUGGCUAAUACGUGAUGUGAUGAUCCGCUGUGGCGGAUCAUUAAAGACUUGAUCGCUUGGGGAUGGGGUUGCGUUCCAUCAGCUAGUUGGUAAGGUAAAGGCUUACCAAGGCAACGACGGAUAGCCGGCCUGAGAGGGUGGCCGGCCACAGGGGCACUGAGACACGGGUCCCACUCCUACGGGAGGCAGCAGUUAGGAAUCUUCCACAAUGGGCGCAAGCCUGAUGGAGCGACGCCGCGUGAGGGAUGAAGGUUCUCGGAUCGUAAACCUCCGAACCAACGACGAAAGACCCGACAAGGGAGAUGACGGUAGUUGGGUAAUAGCACCGGCUAACUCCGUGCCAGCAGCCGCGGUAACAC
rnacentral:rRNA from 1 species